GAUGAACGCUGGCGGCGUGCUUAACACAUGCAAGUCGAACGAAGCACUUUAUUUUAUUUCCUUCGGGACUGAUUAUUUUGUGACUGAGUGGCGGACGGGUGAGUAACGCGUGGGUAACCUGCCUUGUACAGGGGGAUAACAGUUGGAAACGGCUGCUAAUACCGCAUAAGCGCACAGCAUCGCAUGAUGCAGUGUGAAAAACUCCGGUGGUAUAAGAUGGACCCGCGUUGGAUUAGCUAGUUGGUGAGGUAACGGCCCACCAAGGCGACGAUCCAUAGCCGACCUGAGAGGGUGACCGGCCACAUUGGGACUGAGACACGGCCCAAACUCCUACGGGAGGCAGCAGUGGGGAAUAUUGCACAAUGGGCGAAAGCAUGAUGCAGCGACGCCGCGUGAGCGAAGAAGUAUUUCGGUAUGUAAAGCUCUAUCAGCAGGGAAGAUAAUGACGGUACCUGACUAAGAAGCACCGGCUAAAUACGUG
rnacentral:rRNA from 1 species